UACGUAGGGGGCAAGCGUUGUUCGGAUUCAUUGGGCGUAAAGGGUGUGUAGGAGGCUAGGUAAGUCAGGUGUGAAAUCUCAGAGCUUAACUCUGAAACUGCGCUUGAUACUGCUUGGCUAGAGGAUCGGAGGGGGUAACGGAAUUUAUGGUGUAGCAGUGAAAUGCGUAGAUAUCAUAAGGAACACCGGUGGCGAAGGCGGUUACCUGGAAGAUUCCUGACUCUGAAACACGAAAGCCAGGGGAGCAAACGGG
rnacentral:rRNA from 1 species